rnacentral:tRNA from 1 species
GCCUUCGUGGUGUAGUGGUCAGCACGCUCGGCGCGUAUUCGAGAGAUCCGUGGUUCGAGUCCCGGCGAAGGCA